rnacentral:rRNA from 1 species
GCUCAGUAACACGUGGAUAACCUGCCCUUAGGACUGGCAUAACCCCGGGAAACUGGGGAUAAUUCCGGAUAGUUCAUGGUAGCUGGAAUGCUCCAUGAUCGAAAGCUAUUGCGCCUAAGGAUGGGUCUGCGGUCUAUCAGGUAGUAGUGGGUGUAAUGUACCUACUAGCUGACGACGGAUACGGGUUGUGGGAGCAAGAGCCCGGAGAUGGAUUCUGAGACAUGAAUCCAGGCCCUACGGGGCGCAGCAGGCGCGAAAACUUUACAAUGCGGGAAACCGCGAUAAGGGGACACCGAGUGCCAGCAUCUUAUGUUGGCUGUCCGCAUGUAUAAAUCACAUGUGUUAGCAAGAGCCGGGCAAGACCGGUGCCAGCCGCCGCGGUAACACCGGCGGCCUGAGUGGUGGCCACUAUUAUUGGGUCUAAAGGGUCCGUAGCCGGUUUGGUCAGCCUUCCGGGAAAUCUGACGGCUUAACCGUUAGGCUUUCGGGGGAUACUACCAGGCUUGGGACCGGGAGAGGUAAGAGGUACUACGGGGGUAGGAGUGAAAUCUUGUAAUCCUCGUGGGACCACCAGUGGCGAAGGCGUCUUACCAGAACGGGUCCGACGGUGAGGGACGAAAGCUGGGGGCACGAACCGGAUUAGAUACCCGGGUAGUCCCAGCCGUAAACUAUGCUCGCUAGGUGUCAGGGACGGUGCGACCGUUUCUGGUGCCGCAGGGAAGCCGUGAAGCGAGUCACCUGGGAAGUACGGUCGCAAGGCUGAAACUUAAAGGAAUUGGCGGGGGAGCAC